UAGGGAAUUUUCGUCAAUGGGCGCAAGCCUGAACGAGCGAUGCCGCGUGAGUGAAGAAGGCCUUCGGGUCGUAAAGCUCUGUUGCGGGGGAAAAAAGGGACAUCUGCAGGAAAUGGUAGAUGACAGAUGAUGCCCCGCCAGAAAGUCACGGCUAACUACGUGCC
rnacentral:rRNA from 1 species